rnacentral:lncRNA from 1 species
GGAGCCAUUGACGCUAGGAGGCCCUUGGUACUUGAAAAUGGGUGAAAGGGGUGACUUGUUGGAAAAGACCAAAGGAAAGAAAA